rnacentral:rRNA from 1 species
AUUGAACGCUGGCGGCAGGCCUAACACAUGCAAGUCGUGCGAGCGGCGGACGGGUGAGUAAUGUAUGGGGACUGCCUGAUAGCGGGGGAUAACUACUGUAAACGGUAGCUAAUACCGCAUACCAUAGGAUAACCCAUAUGGGAUUAGCUAGUAGGGUAGGUAACGGCUCACCUAGGCGACGAUCUCUAGCUGGUCUUAGAGGAGGAUCAGCCACACUGGGAGUGAGACACGGCCCAGACUCCUACGGAGGCAGCAGGGGGGAAUAUUGCACAAUGGGCGCAAGCCUGAUGCAGCCAUGCCGCGUGUAUGAAGAAGGCCUUAGGGUUGUAAAGUACUUUCAGUCGGGAGGCGUUACCGACAGAAGAAGCACCGGCUAACUCCGUGCCAGCAGCCGCGGUAAUUC